UGGGGAAUUUUGGACAAUGGGCGCAAGCCUGAUCCAGCCAUUCCGCGUGAGUGAAGAAGGCCUUCGGGUUGUAAAGCUCUUUCGCAAGGGAAGAAACGAUUUAGGUAAAUAAUCUAAGUUAAUGACGGUACCUUGAUAAGAAGCACCGGCUAACUACGUGCCAGCAGCCGCGGUAAUACGUAGGGUGCGAGCGUUAAUCGGAAUUACUGGGCGUAAAGCGUGCGCAGGCUGUUUUGUAAGUCAGAUGUGAAAUCCCCGAGCUCAACUUGGGAACUGCGUUUGAAACUACAAGACUAGAAUAUGUCAGAGGGGGGUAGAAUUCCACGUGUAGCAGUGAAAUGCGUAGAGAUGUGGAGGAAUAUCAAUGGCGAAGGCAGCCCCCUGG
rnacentral:rRNA from 1 species